rnacentral:rRNA from 1 species
GAUGAACGCUAGCUACAGGCUUAACACAUGCAAGUCGAGGGGCAGCAUUUCAGUUUGCUUGCAAACUGGAGAUGGCGACCGGCGCACGGGUGAGUAACACGUAUCCAACCUGCCGAUAACUCGGGGAUAGCCUUUCGAAAGAAAGAUUAAUACCCGAUGGUAUAAUCAGACCGCAUGGUCUUGUUAUUAAAGAAUUUCGGUUAUCGAUGGGAAUGCGUUCCAUUAGGCAGUUGGUGAGGUAACGGCUCACCAAACCUUCGAUGGAUAGGGGUUCUGAGAGGAAGGUCCCCCACAUUGGAACUGAGACACGGUCCAAACUCCUACGGGAGGCAGCAGUGAGGAAUAUUGGUCAAUGGGCGCAGGCCUGAACCAGCCAAGUAGCGUGAAGGAUGACUGCCCUAUGGGUUGUAAACUUCUUUUAUAUGGGAAUAAAGUUUUCCACGUGUGGAAUUUUGUAUGUACCAUAUGAAUAAGGAUCGGCUAACUCCGUGCCAGCAGCCGCGGUAAUACGGAGGAUCCGAGCGUUAUCCGGAUUUAUUGGGUUUAAAGGGAGCGUAGGUGGACAGUUAAGUCAGUUGUGAAAGUUUGCGGCUCAACCGUAAAAUUGCAGUUGAUACUGGCUGUCUUGAGUACAGUAGAGGUGGGCGGAAUUCGUGGUGUAGCGGUGAAAUGCUUAGAUAUCACGAAGAACUCCGAUUGCGAAGGCAGCUCACUGGACUGCAACUGAC